rnacentral:rRNA from 1 species
UACGUAGGGGGCAAGCGUUGUCCGGAAUCAUUGGGCGUAAAGCGCGUGUAGGCGGUUCGGUAAGUCUGCUGUGAAAGUCCAGGGCUCAACCCUGGGAUGCCGGUGGAUACUGUCGAACUAGAGUACGGAAGAGGCGAGUGGAAUUCCCGGUGUAGCGGUGAAAUGCGCAGAUAUCGGGAGGAACACCAAUUGCGAAGGCAGCUCGCUGGGACGUCACUGACGCUGAGACGCGAAAAGCGUGGGGAGCAAACAGGG